rnacentral:rRNA from 1 species
AGCACCACAACGGGUGGAGCUUGCGGUUUAAUUGGAUUCAACGCCGGAAAUCUUACCGGGACCGACAGCAAUAUGAAGGCCAGGCUGAAGACUUUGCCGGAUUAGCUGAGAGUGGUGCAUGGCCGUCGUCAGUUCGUACUGUGAAGCAUCCUGUUAAGUCAGGCAACGAGCGAGACCCACGCCCACAGUUGCCAGCGUACUCUCCGGAGUGACGGGUACACUGUGGGGACCGCCGCUGCUAAAGCGGAGGAAGGAAUGGGCAACGGUAGGUCAGUAUGCCCCGAAUAUCCCGGGCUACACGCGAGCUACAAUGGUUGGUACAAUGGGUAUCUACCCCGAAAGGGGACGGGAAUCUCCUAAAACCAAUCUUAGUUCGGAUUGAGGGCUGCAACUCGCCCUCAUGAAGCUGGAAUCCGUAGUAAUCGCGUUUCAACAGAACGCGGUGAAUACGUCCCUGCUCCUU